AUAUUUUCUUGGCAGAGGAAAUACCAUGACCAUGAAGAUGCUUUUCCCAAGGAGAAGCUUAUUCAUUGCACUCUGGAUGUGCUGACCCAUGCUAUUUCUCUAAAUGGAGGAAACUUGACUGAAAAAUGUAUGGUAGUGGGGGACUCAGUUUGUGCACCUCAUCCCCA